AACUAACAUAUGAAGCUCUUCCUGUGUGCAGACUAUUGUGCUAAGUGGCUGGGUGCUGCAAAGGAUGUGGGGGACAGACCUUAUGCCAUAGAUUGUAUAGGGGCAGGGUGAAAGGCCAUUCACUGCCUCCAGGCAGAAAGCUCUCUAAGGGGUUGAACCAGAGGGAUUCUGGACUCAAGGACACCAGGCUCACAGAGGCAAGGACACCACAUCGAAAACGUGGAGGAAGAUUAGUUACCGAAAG